rnacentral:misc_RNA from 1 species
GAUGAAGAACGCAGCGAAAUGCGAUAAGUAAUGUGAAUUGCAGAAUUCAGUGAAUCAUCGAAUCUUUGAACGCACAUUGCGCCCCUUGGUAUUCCGGGGGGCAUGCCUGUUCGAGCGUCAUUAUAACCCCUCAAGCUCAGCUUGGUGUUGGGGCCUGCCGACUGGCAGCCCUUAAAAUCAGUGGCGGCGCCAUCUGGCUCUAAGCGUAGUAAUAUCUCUCGCUAUAGAGUCCCGGUGGAUGCUUGCCAGCAACCCCCAACUUUCUAUGGUUGACCUCGGAUCAGGUAGGGAUACCCGCUGAACUUAAGCAUAUCAAUAAGCGGAGGA